rnacentral:rRNA from 1 species
AUUGAACGCUGGCGGCAGGCCUAACACAUGCAAGUCGAACGAGUGGCGGACGGGUGAGUAAUGUCUGGGAAACUGCCCGAUGGAGGGGGAUAACUACUGGAAACGGUAGCUAAUACCGCAUACCCUCGGAUGUGCCCAGAUGGGAUUAGGUAGUGGGUGGGGUAAUGGAUCCCUUAGGCGACGAUCCCUAGCUGUUCUGAGAGGAUGACCAGCCACACUGGAACGGAGACACGUGCCAGACUCCUACGGGAGGCAGCAGGGGGGAAUAUUGCACAAUGGGCGCAAGGCUGAUGCAGCCAUGCCGGGUGUAUGAAGAAGGCCUGCGGGUUGUAAAGUACUUUCAGCGAGGAGGCGUUACUCGCAGAAGAAGCACCGGCUAACUCCGUGCCAGCAGCCGCGGUAAUC